rnacentral:rRNA from 1 species
AUUGAACGCUGGCGGCAGGCCUAACACAUGCAAGUCGAGCGAGCGGCGGACGGGUGAGUAAUGUAUGGGGCCUGCCCGAUAGAGGGGGAAAACUACUGGAAACGGUGGCUAAUACCGCAUACUCUCAGAUAACCCAUAUGGGAUUAGUGAGUAGGUGGGGUAAAGGGUCACCUGGGCGACGAUCUCUAGUUGGUCUGAGAGGAUGAGCAGCCAAACUGGGACUGAGACACGGCCCAGACUCCUGCGGAGGCAGCAGUGGGGAAGAUUAGGCAAUGGGCGCAAGCCUGAUGCAGCCAGGCCGCGUGUAUGAAUAAGGCCUUAGGGUUGUAAAGUACUUUCAGCGGGGAGGCGUUACCUGCAGAAGAAGCACCGGCUAACUACGUGCCAGCAGCCGCGGUAAUAC